GUCAGGAUGUCUGAGUGGCCUAAGGUGCCAGACUGAAGGCGUUCCACGCCUUCCUGUGGCAGUUGAGUAUUCUGUUCUCUCAGUGGAGGCAUGGGCUCAAAUCCCACUUCUGACA
rnacentral:tRNA from 1 species